ACGGGAGACACACGGCGGGUGCUAACGUCCGUCGUGAAGAGGGAAACAACCCAGACCGCCAGCUAAGGUCCCAAAGUCAUGGUUAAGUGGGAAACGAUGUGGGAAGGCCCAGACAGCCAGGAUGUUGGCUUAGAAGCAGCCAUCAUUUAAAGAAAGCGUAAUAGCUCACUGGUCGAGUCGGCCUGCGCGGAAGAUGUAACGGGGCUAAACCAUGCACCGAAGCUGCGGCAGCGACGCUUAUGCGUUGUUGGGUAGGGGAGCGUUCUGUAAGCCUGUGAAGGUGUACUGUGAGGUAUGCUGGAGGUAUCAGAAGUGCGAAUGCUGACAUAAGUAACGAUAAAGCGGGUGAAAAGCCCGCUCGCCGGAAGACCAAGGGUUCCUGUCCAACGUUAAUCGGGGCAGGGUGAGUCGACCCCUAAGGCGAGGCCGAAAGGCGUAGUCGAUGGGAAACAGGUUAAUAUUCCUGUACUUGGUGUUACUGCGAAGGGGGGACGGAGAAGGCUAUGUUGGCCGGGCGACGGUUGUCCCGGUUUAAGCGUGUAGGCUGGUUUUCCAGGCAAAUCCGGAAAAUCAAGGCUGAGGCGUGAUGACGAGGCACUACGGUGCUGAAGCAACAAAUGCCCUGCUUCCAGGAAAAGCCUCUAAGCAUCAGGUAACAUCAAAUCGUACCCCAAACCGACACAGGUGGUCAGGUAGAGAAUACCAAGGCGCUUGAGAGAACUCGGGUGAAGGAACUAGGCAAAAUGGUGCCGUAACUUCGGGAGAAGGC
rnacentral:rRNA from 1 species